rnacentral:rRNA from 1 species
AAUGAACGUUGGCGGCGUGGAUUAGGCAUGCAAGUCGAGCGAGAACCCAGCAAUGGGGGACAGCGGCGCAAGGGACAGUAAUGUGUAGAUUAUCUGCCCUCGGGUCCGGGAUAGCUGCGGGAAACUGCAGGUAAUACCGGAUAACAUCUCCGGAUCAAAGGUGUGAUUCCGCCCGAGGACGAGUCUGCAUCCUAUUAGCUAGUUGGCAGGGUAAUGGCCUACCAAGGCGAUGAUGGGUAGCGGGUGUGAGAGCACGACCCGCGUCAUUGGGACUGAGACACUGCCCAGACACCUACGGGUGGCUGCAGUCGAGAAUCUUCGGCAAUGGGCGCAAGCCUGACCGAGCGACGCCGCGUGUGGGAUGAAGGCCUUCGGGUUGUAAACCACUGUCAGAGGGGAUGAAAUGCAGGUGGGUUCUCCCAUCUGUUUGACAUAGCCUCAGAGGAAGGACGGGCUAAGUUCGUGCCAGCAGCCGCAGUAACAC